rnacentral:lncRNA from 1 species
AGAAAUUGGGGAAGAUUACUGCCUGAGACAGCAUAGGGCAGUGACAGUGAGAGAUGAAGGCAACAUCAGUGUGCGCCAGAGUUGGCACGUUAGUGAACUGAGAUUUCUAUGUCAAGGGAUGUACUUGGUGUUGAAGAGCUGAGUUCAGAGUUCAGAGAGCAGGUGUUCAAAAGCAAGUUCAAGUCAUACAAAAGAGCCAAGAAUAACCCAAGAGCUUCCACAUAUCUCUGUAAACAGGGUUAGAGGUUGUCAGGGUCACAGGUAGGACAGAUACCUUGCACAUUUUUUUCUUAAGAAAUCUCGA